CUGGCUGAUGAAACUAAGGCGAAUGCGAUUCCGUGCUCUCUGGGGGGGGUGGAGUUCUCAAAUGGGAUCUGAAAUCUUAGUGGGGUACCUGAGCUUGGCUCCUCACUGUAAAGCAGAUCAAUAGCACUGCUGGCCUUACCUCCAUUUCUGCUGCUGCCUCUAGUUCCUGGCAGCUGCCUACAGGGGGGCCCACAGGUGAGGGCCAAAGUAAGACUAGGCACGAGCCACCUGAGCGCAACCUUGGAUCUGACA
rnacentral:snoRNA from 1 species